rnacentral:rRNA from 1 species
CCUACGGGCGACAGCAGUGAGGAAUAUUGGUCAAUGGGCGUAAGCCUGAACCAGCCAAGUCGCGUGAGGGAUGAAGGUUCUAUGGAUCGUAAACCUCUUUUAUCAGGGAAUAAAGUGUGGGACGCGUCCUAUCUUGUAUGUACCUUAUGAAUAAGGAUCGGCUAACUCCGUGCCAGCAGCCGCGGUAAUACGGAGGAUCCGAGCGUUAUCCGGAUUUAUUGGGUUUAAAGGGUGCGUAGGCGGCCUUUUAAGUCAGCGGUGAAAGUCUGUGGCUCAACCCUAGAAUUGCCGUUGAAACUGGGGGUCUUGAGUGUGUUUGAGGCAUGCGGAAUGCGUGGUGUAGCGGUGAAAUGCUUAGAUAUCACGCAGAACCCCGAUUGCGAAGGCAGCCUGCCAAGCCAUGACUGACGCUGAUGCACGAAAGCGUGGGGAUCAAACAGGAUUAGAUACCCGAGUAGUC